CCGUAGCUCAGUGGAUAGAGCACUGGCCUCCGGAGCCAGCUGCGUAGGUUCAAUUCCUAUCGG
rnacentral:tRNA from 1 species